rnacentral:lncRNA from 1 species
AAGGCCUGCCAGGGAGCAGUUUUGCGGGGGGAUUUAUCACACGGAAGUCCUUUGUUGACGGGAUUUUCAUUUCCAAUUCUCCCACCUAGCCGACUUUUCGGAAGGGUGGAGCGAAGUCUCCCCUCUCUUUUAGGCAGUUGCUGCCUGGUUGUCUUAGAAAGCGCGGCGCUCUCUCAGAGCAGUCCCCUCCCCACCAGCUUCCACCUCUCGGGUCACAAACACUCACUAACUGCGUACUCACUCCGCGGGGAGUUUCGGAGACUAGACACCCAGACAGGAGAAAGUGCAAGGAACCUCCUCACAAGUCAUUCAGUCUCCCUGCCUGCUUUUACAAAGCAGGAAACUGAGGCGGGGUGGGGGCGGCAAGGCAGGACCCCGCGGGAAGCCAGACGCGCCUGGGACGGGUUCCUCUACAAAAGGAGAUUUGAAGCAGGCUUUGGUCUCCUGGGAGGCUUCCUCUCCCCGCCCCACCACGCAGAAGCCACGGAGGGCACCUUUCGGAGCCUUGGCUCCCCUGCCAGGCGGAGCGCUCGGCGGGCUCCUCCAGCCGUGCUCGCCAAGGGCCCCUCCAGGAGGCUGCGAAGGCCCGCCAGGGAGCAUCCUUACCUUGUUGGAGGCCAUCUCGCUGACGGAGCGACACUUCUUAGUGGUAUGACCUGGGAAAGUCAUUUAACCCCCAUUGCUUGGCCCUGACUGCUCUUCUGCCAUGGAACCAGUAUGGAGUAUUGAUUCUAAGAGAGAAGGUAAGUUUAGAAAAAAAAAAAGCUUCCUUAGCUCCUUAAUUCUACCAGGGGGUCUCCUUUGCUUGAUAUUUAAAGCCUAAUUGGAUUCCAACCCAUCUUUCCAAGAUGGUUCCACGCAGCUUCCUUUCCCAAGUCUACAUUCCAGCCAAAGUGGACUCCUUCCAAUUAUGCUGCCAUUUGUCUCUGUCUUUGUCCAGACUGUCCCUCUGGAAUGCUCUCCCUCCUUACCUUGGCCAGCUGGAAUCCCCAAACCCCAUCAAAGCUAACCUCAAGUAACCCCCUUAAAGGAGACUUUUCCUAGACCCCUAGGCCCCCAUUUGUCACUGUUCCCUCCUCCCCCACCCCCAACUCCUCAAACUCCCUUGCAUUUACCUUCAUUUGUCUUGGAUUUCUUUCUCUGCAUCUAGGUUUUCUCUCCCCAGUAGAGCAUGAGCUCUUUGAAAGCAGUUUCUUUCUCACUCUUGUCUUUGUCUUUCCAGGCCCUAAUCUAGUUCCUGGCUCAUGGAAGACAUUUAAUGAAAGCCUUAAAGAAAGCUUGCUGACUUCCACUGUGCUGGAGACAACUGGAGUGAGAAGACCAGGCUGGGAAUAUCUGGGCUGGAAGCUCACCAGAAGCAGCUUCUGAAGGAUGGGCAGAAGCAACCCACCUAAAUAAGAUGCCUGAGAAUCGUGUAGUUGUAGAAUUAGAGGGAGGAGGGAUGUCAGAAGUCAUCUAGUCCAUUAAACAGAUGAAGAAACUGAGAGAGGCCAGUUCUGCUUUGGACACAUUUCAUUGGGAUGCUUCCAUGAUGUCAAAUGUGAGAUGUUCAAAAGGCAGUUGGUGAUACAGGCCUGGAGCUCCGGAGAGGAAGGCAAAUCUAGGAAUCUGGGGCAUUGAGGUAACUGAGCCAUUGGGACCAGAUGGGAUCACCACUUGAAAUAGGACUGAGGGAGGGGACAUAGGCCCCAGCCUUGGGAGAUUUCCACAAUUAGUGGGAAGGACUUGAAGAACCAAGAAGACGGCUGAGCAGCUGGGUAAGUAAGAGAACCAGGAGAGAGAUGUGGCCCAAAAGCCUAGGGAGAAGGGAAUAUGGGGGGUAGGGGAAGAAGGUGAUCAAUAGGGUCAAUGGCUAAAGAUGGGAAUCAGCUGGGGAGGAAAAGGGUCCCACUGAAAUCAGGUCACAUAAAUUUGUAGUGGCCAAAGUCAGUGUGGUUUCCUGAUUCUUCCAUCUCUGUACAAAGAUGAUUCUGGGAUAGGACAAAGGGGGAGGCCAUUGGUCUUUCUCUCCCUCUGACUUGAAAUUUCACUAGUGUGGGGAGCUCCAAGGUGGGGGGCACCUCCUCCAUCAAUGCAGAUCAGCCACUGGGAUGGCAUUUCUAGAAAGUCACAGCUAAGGUCUCAGUGCACCAGGAGAUCAAGUGCCUUGUCCAUGCCCACACAGCUGGAAUGUAUUGGAAGCUGAGCUUGAACCCUGGCAUUCCUGCCUCCAAGGCUGUCCCUCCCACUGUCUCCAGUGGGCUGCCCUUCUUUUCUAUACCUUUUAAUAUAGGGGAAGAGAACAGGCAAAGGUAAUUUCUGCCCAGAGAGCCACCAUAUUAGUUCCUACCCUCAUUGGCUCUUUGUUUAGACAAGGCAAUGAUCUCUAAUUGGCCUCCCUGUUUUCACUCCAUCCUACACACAAUUGCCAGGUGAUUCUCCUCAAGGACAGGCAUUACCAUACCACUCCCCUACUCCAUAAUAUCUACUGGCUCCCUCUUAUUCUAGGAUAUGCCUUAACUCCUCUGCUUGGUUUUAGAGACAUUUAGGGGUUCCACAUCCCUUACCUUUCCCGCCUCUGCAUUUAUAAAAAUUUGAAGUGAUUUUCACUAUUGUCUUCCUCUCCUACAAUGGAUGGGACAUAUACAAGACAUGCCUUUAGGGCUGUUAUAGUCUCAUGCCAAAGGAGGGAGCAAACCCAAGGGAUUUGAUUACACUGUGAUGGGUUAUAGUCUUAUGAGAGGUGGGAAAGUUAAGGGGUGUCAUACCCCAUAAUGACUCCCAAGAGGGAGCAUUUCAGACAAGAUUGAAAGUCAUGAGCUUCAGUGGCUACCUGAUUUGAUGCGUGUGUUUGUCAACACCCUCCUCAGAAGGGAUUGUAUAAUUUUCAUAAAAUUCUAGUUUUACAAAAAGCUAAGAAAUUUUCUAUCUCCCAGAAUCCAGGAAGUGAACUGUUUGAAGAAGGCACCGUGGAGAUGCCUGCAGAAACCUCACACUGCACCAAAGGAUCCAGAAUGAACUUUGGUUUGUAGUGAAAUUGAACUGUGGGGGUUGUAACACAUUUAUUUUGAAUGUAUACACUUAUGCCAAAGGGGACUGCCCCCUAAUUGACUUUUUGUCAAUGUGCCUAGCCUAGCAAUCAUUGGUUUUGUUCUCUUUCUCUUUUAUCCUCAAAUUAUUGUAAUUUAUAAGUUGGUUGUGUUUACAAGAUCCAUUAGGGAGACUAGUCUUCCAAAGGAUCUCAGGGGGGAUUGUGAACUUGGAAUCUGGUUCCCUAAAAAACUACGAUACCCAGCAAAAAACUAUGAUUCCCAGAACCCCAUUCACUUCCUGUCAUUAUGUGCUGAUGUGGAGAACAUAAAUUGGGUAGAGUUCUGUGUCUAGCCUCUUUUCCUUUCUUUUGGCAGCUUUGGUGGAGCAGGUAGAAAACUUAGUGGAUUUAUUUUGUCAGAUAAUAAACUUUAAAAAUAUAAUACUUGGAGGGCA